GGUUAACUGAGAGUGUCUCUAAAUGCAAAUGAUCAUGAGUGUGCAUGAGCAUGAUGAUUUAUAACAUGGGAUUUAUCAACAGCUGAUACUUACUGAUGUGCAUACGACCAGUGCCGGCUUGUGUGA